rnacentral:rRNA from 1 species
GCUACACACCGCCCGUCGCUACUACCGAUUGAAUGGCUCAGUGAGGCGUCCGGACUGGCCCAGAGAGGUGGGCAACUACCACUCAGGGCCGGAAAGCUCUCCAAACUCGGUCAUUUAGAGGAAGUAAAAGUCGUAACAAGGUCUCCGUUGGUGAACCAGCGGAGGGAUCAUUACCGAGUUUAC